rnacentral:rRNA from 1 species
UACGGAGGGUGCAAGCGUUGUUCGGAAUUACUGGGCGUAAAGGGCUCGUAGGUGGCCAACUAAGUCAGACGUGAAAUCCCUCGGCUUAACCGGGGAACUGCGUCUGAUACUGGAUGGCUUGAGUUUGGGAGAGGGAUGCGGAAUUCCAGGUGUAGCGGUGAAAUGCGUAGAUAUCUGGAGGAACACCGGUGGCGAAGGCGGCAUCCUGGACCAACACUGACACUGAGGAGCGAAAGCCAGGGGAGCAAACGGG